GGGACUAGGGUGAGGCCAGUCACCCAUAAAGUAGAAAGCACUACUAACAGCACUGGAGGGUGUAGUGUUUCCUACUUUAUGGAUGAGUGUACUGUGGGCUUCGGAG
rnacentral:pre_miRNA from 8 species